rnacentral:rRNA from 1 species
GAGAGAGAGACAUGCGCGCAUAUCAAUAAGCGGAGGAAAAGAAACUAACAAGGAUUCCCUUAGUAACGGCGAGUGAAGCGGGAAGAGCUCAAAUUUGAAAUCUUCAAGGUUUUACCUUGACGAAUUGUAGUUUAAAGAAGUGUUUUCUGCUGAAGUUUUGGUAAAAGUUCUUUGGAAUAGGACAUCAUAGAGGGUGAGAAUCCCGUAUUUGACCAUUAUUUUCAGCUUUGUGAUACACUUUCAAAGAGUCGGAUUGUUUGGGAAUGCAGUCCAAAAUGGGUGGUAAAUUUCAUCUAGAGCUAAAUAUUGGCGAGAGACCGAUAGCGAACAAGUACCGUGAGGGAAAGAUGAAAAGAACUUUGAAAAGAGAGUUAAACAGUACGUGAAAUUGUCAAAAGAGAAGCGUUUGACACCAGUGUUGUUUUCUCGAAAAUCAAUUAAAAAUGGCUCGAUUUUGUAUUGCUUGAGACCUUAAAAGCUCACUGUACAUUUUUCGUGUCUUUUUUAAUGCACUUUUCGUUUAACAAGUCAACAUCAGUUUCUUUUGUUGUAAAAGGGUCAUUGGAAGGUGGCUUUCUUUUCGGAGAAAGUGUUUAUAGCCUUUGGCCUCUGCAAUCGGAGAGACUGAGGUCUGCAGCGUAGACUCUUCGGGGUUAGAUACAUUUGUGCUAAGUUAUAGCUUUUUAUAGACAACUUGUUGACUAUAAUUAGUCUUGUAGCUUACUCGCUUAUGCUAUUUUACCUACGCUUAGGAUGUUGAAGAUGUAGCACAUCAU